GAGCAGCUUCUCUAGAGACAGCAGUUGCGAGCGGUGCAGCAGCCGCUGCCAGCUGCGACGAAUGAGAGCGCAGAUCUUAUCGCCAGAAGGAAGCGCUCAGCUGCUCUUCUCCGAAGCCACCGCGCUUCACAGUAGAUGUGCCUGGAGCUUAUGGGCAAGGAAAAAACAAAAGAGUUGCCCUUCUGCAAGUCAAGUUUUUCACAUGUGGGAAUUUACUGCACAGAAAAGGCAAAAUAAUGAAUAUAGCCUUAUCCAAUACCCAUUCAGUAUUUGGAGAAAAUGCCUUGAAUAGCUGAUUCAGCUGAGACAUCUGGAAACCCCUCUUCAGGUACUUGACAACAGCAUUCAUGAAGCUGGCAUCCGAAACUGCUUGCAUAUUUGUAAUCUGGCAGAAUCUUUACCUGAAAGGGACAUAAUACUGGAUCCUACUCUCAUUCAACUUAAUGGAAACUUUGCAGUUGAUUUCACUGGGAACAGGACUGGGCCAAUAAUGGGCCUAUGAAUGCAAUGAGAAACAUCAGAGUAGAUUGAAGAAUCCUGCUAGGCUAUAAAGGGCCUCUUUUAUUUGCAAUUGCUUUUCGGUAUAAACUGAAUAUUUGUGGAAACCUCAAAUCCUCAGACAUGAAAUUAUGUGAAUUUUCUUGAUCUGCUUAUCUGCCCAUUGCUAAGAAAAUUAAUGCAUUAGUUACUUUCUUAGGGGACAACUCAAAAACAGUGAAAAUAGCAAACCAGCAGUGCUGUUAGGUACCACUCUGACUGCUCCAAAAUGCUCGAAAAAUUCCUUGUUGCUGGCAAUGCAUGUUAUUAAUGAACCAGUGCUGAACAUGGUCUAACUGCAAGUGUAAACCAAAAACCAUGUUCAGCACCAUUUUGGUAAUCAUAUUCUGCAAGUCACUUAGGCCCCUGUUCAGCAAAGCAUUUAAUUACAUGCUUAAAUUUUUGCACAGCAGGGAUGGAUUUGGCCACGUGUAAAAUUAAGGCUGGGCUUUUCAAAGAACCCUAAGGGUGUUAGAUAUCUAAGCCCCCUGGGAAUAACAACUCUUCAGGCUCCUUUGCAAAUUCCUGCCUAAGUAGUGCUGAGUGAGUUCACCUCUAAUUUUGAGUGCUUCUGGUUUUGAUACCACGGUCUGAUUGUCAGAGAUGAUGAGCACUUGCAGUUACAACUAAACUCAGUGUGUUCAGCACCUCUGAAAAUCAUGCCAUAAUUGUUUCAAGUUGGGAAUGCAACGCUUGAGGUUGCCAAAAUUAGAGGCUGCUUUCAAAAAUGAGGACCUGCUCUUUCUUGUGCCUCCUUUUCCAUCAUCUGUAAAAUACGGCUAACAUUUCACAGGAGUAUGAUUCAUUUAUGUUUCUAAAGACCUUAAAACCUUGGUGCUAUAAAUGUUAAGGGCACAGUGCUGUGAUAACCUAGAAAUGAUACCUAACAUAAGAAAUCCAUUAGUAAAAAUGAGAUUCUGACUCUCUGUAUAAGUGUGUUUGUGUCUGUGUUUUCUCUCUUCCUGUACACCUUUUGUUAUUCUGCCAGUCCUUGGGAAGUUCACACAAGUGGAAGUGUGAGUGUAUCUUUAUGCAGAGUGACUAACAAGUGAAAAAGUUUCUGUAUGUACUAUUUUUUCCUUGUCUGACACAAGCACAUUUCAAAUUUUAAUUUAAGAUUAAACCCAAUGGUAUCUGUUUUCAAGAAAAAAGAUAGCAAAGGGGGAAAAAACAUUACCAGUAAAUUGUGUGACUAAAUUAAUUAGUCACAUUAGAUUAAUUGAACUAAUGUUUUAAAAAUAAUUUUGUUACAUUGUUUUUGAGAACUGUGCCAAAUGUUAUUACCCUGAGGACUGGUUUCACCAUAGCUCCAGCAUUUUUCUUUAAAGGACAAGCACACAGAAAAUUCUAGUGUGUGUAUUUCUCCUAAAAGUUUUCAUUUUCUAGGGAAAUGAUAAAAUACAGGGGAAAUAUUUGUAUUUAAACAGGUAUAUCAGAUUCUACACAUGUUCAGAUCACGAGCUUACAUGACAAAGAACAGAACUGGGAGCCAGAAUUUUGGGUUGUAUUCCUGGCUCUGCCACUGACCUACUCUUUGACCUUGGGCAAAAAACUUCAUCCUUGUGUUUCAGUUUCCUCAUCUAUAAAUGGUUAUGAUAUGUUCCUACUGGUACCUCAGAGCGGUGUUGCAAAUUUCAUUAAUGUUUGUAAAGCACUUUGAGAUCUUUGGGUGGAACGUGCUCUAAAAGUACAAAGUAGCAUAUUAUCAAUUUACUUAACCUCUCUCUCUCUUUCCCCCUUAACGUUGCUGGAUGCACUUUUGGGGGAAAUAUUUGUGCAUACUGGCAUACUUCUAUUGCAUUGUAAAUGAAGCAUAACUCAAAAGUUAAGUUCUCUGUCAUUGCCUAGUGUAGAUGAAGGCAGAAAUUAUCCCCAAGGCUACUUACGUUUUCUUGUGCUUUGUCAAAAAUAAUUAGGAUAGGCUGGCAUCUCACUGGAUCAUCUGUCUUUAGGGAUAUGCUUCUUCACAUACAUUAGACUGCACUGUAGCCACAUUAAGUGCUUAAGUUCACUGGAAUGUAAUUUCAGACCUUUUGAUCUUAAAAUACAGACUUUAGUUAGGUCAUCCUGUCCCAAAGAGAAACCCACUGGACUUGUGGCAAAGACGCCAUGAACUCCCCAGUUAAAACACAAGGCAUUAACAAGUAAUCACCCUUCUUGUGGGGGAGAGCAUAGAGGAAGCAAAGGAUACAGCCUCUCAACCCUGUUCAUUCUGGGGGUCAGAUGCUGUCCUCUGUUACAACCUCUGUUUGCCACAAGGGCAGCAUAAUGGGGCAGAAUGGUGCCCUGGGGAAAUCCCCCCGGAAGAGGGGUAAUGUAGGGUUGGCGCACAUGUGCACAUACAUGUCCCCCAACCUGUGCACCACCUAGCACAGGGAUAUGCCAGGGAACAGGGUAGGAGACAAGGGUAGUGGGGACAUGGCAGGAGUGUGAGGGAGAAUGGCUGAGUGCUCUGCAAAACAGGCAGCUGGAGGUGCGCUGGUGUGCUAACUAACUCCUGGAGUGGCUCAGAAUCCCAGAGGGGCAAAAGUGGCUUAAAGCCACCUUUCUAGCCUCCUCCUGGCCUGUGUCUUCUGUGCUGUGCUCACAGACGAGACAUUCUGAAUCCCCAGUUCAAGGAAGCUCUAGACCCAAGUUUAGGUGGGUCCUCACCUCCUGGCAGCAUGGAAUGGUGUUACCACUAGCUGAAUCCCCCCACUCCUGAACUUACCUUUUUAUGGUUCGCAAUUGAUGUUUAUUCUAUAACCAGACUUCACACAGGAUCCAAGAUGAUCACUUUAUUGCAGCUUCUUAACAUUUCCCAUUCUAUAUCUAACCAGCAGAUUGUUGGUUUUAUUAGACAGAGGCUUCAACUGAGAUCAGGGCCCUCUUGUGCUAAGCUCUGUAUAAACUUUUACUAAGAGAUGGUCCCUGCUAUAAAAAGCUUGUCAUCUAUAUAGAUAAAGGCUGGGAAAGGAAACAAGCACAAGGAGGUAAGGUGUGUGACAUUGCACCCCAUAAUGCUUUAUAGAAAUGUGCUUAUGAGUGUAAAUAUGACAUAACUGGAAUAUGUUUUAUGCUAGAUAUGCCAUGUAACACAUCUCUGCAAAGGUUAUGAUCUACUGAAUAUAUUCGUGCUAUUUGUGUGCAUGUAUCAUUCUUAUAUUUGAAGUUAUGGAUAUUGGCUAUGUACUUGUUUGAUUUUAAGUAGCCUCAGUGAAGCAUUUGGUCAGCUUCUUGAGAAAAGACUAUUCUCAGUACGUGCCCAAUCAAGAAACACUUAAGUUGGCAAUGAACUUUGAGAGAUGCCAGUCCACAUCUGAGCUUUACUGGGAAAGUGGCAUCAACCUGUAAAGUUCUGAGUCAUGCAUGGACAUGUGACUUGCCCAUGUGGCUCCAAAACUCCAUCUUGCAGCUGGAUUCUGCAUAGGAGAGGAGAAGGGGUUUCCACCCACAAGAGAAAAUCUAUUUAAGCUCCUGGAAACCUCUCCAUUUUGUCUUCAGAUGGCUCAAGAGGUAGCCUCUCCAACCCCAAAGGAUACCUGAAAGAAACUGGAACAAAGGACAGUAGCUACAGGGGUGUCAAGAUUGCUGGACCCAGACUAGAAGGAGCCUAGUCUGUUAAAGAAGCUUCCUGGAACAUCUGUGAGGGUGAGAUUUCAUCUGUAAUCACUUUCUUACUGUAUUAAGCUUAGACUUGCGUGUUUUAUUUUGCUGGGUAAUUCACUUUGUUCUGUCUGUUAUUACUUGGAACCACUUAAAUCCUACCUUUUGUAUUUAAUCAAAUCACUUUUUACUUAUUAAUUAACCCAGAGUAUGUAUUAAUAUCGGAGGGGGGGCAAACAGCUGUAUAUACCUCUCUAUCAGUGUUAUCGAGGGCAAACAAUUUAUGAGUUCACCCUGUAUAAGUUUUAUACAGGGUAAAAUGGAUUUAUUUGGGGUUUGGACCCCACUGGGAGUUGGGUAUCUGAGUGCUGGAGAUAGGAACACUUCUUAAGCGGUUUUCAGUUAAGCCUGCAGCUUGUGCGGGACGUGGUUCAGACCUGGGUGUAUGUUUGUAGCAGGCUAGCGUGUCUGGCAUAACCAGGCAGGACACUGAAGUCCCAAGCUGGCAGGGAAAACAGGCUCAGAGGUAGUCUCAGCACAUCAGGUUGAAGUCCCAAAGGGGGUUUCUGUGAUCCAAUCAGUUACAAGGUGACUGACCUAGCAUCACCCUGGAGGUCAGUGAUAGAACAGAAGAGAAUCCAAGUCUCUCAGGGUAUGUCUACACAGAGUUUUAGAGCCUCUGGAAGCAAGCUUCUCAGCUCAGGUCGACAGACUCGGGUUAGUAGUGCUCAUACUACUGCUCUUAAAAUAGUUGCAUAGGCCGUGCUUUGAAGUUGUGUCUCUGGCUGAAGCUUGGGGUCUGAACCCUAGGGAGGCGGCAGGGUUCAGAGCUUGAGCUCCAGCCCUAGUUGCAACUUCAAAGCACUGUCUACACAGCUAUUUUUAGAGCACUAGUGUGAGCCCUGCUAGCACAAGUGUCUCAUACCAGGCUGGGAGGCUCAUUCCUGGGGGCUCCAAAGUGCUGGGUAGAUGUAGCCUUAGAUCCCAGUCUAGUGCUCUAUCCAAUGGGCUGUGGUGCUAGAUUUGAAGAGCUUUCGUAUUCCUGAAAAAGAACAUUCAUGAACCCUCCAAUGGACAUAUGCUAGAUUUGAUAAACCCCAACAGCCCUUGAGUUGAACUCAGGCUUGCAGUUGUAUAAUGUCUUAAUAUCUGUCUGCAACUACAUUUCAAGAAAAUAAUUUAUCAGAGCACAUUUGUCUUUAGAAAGCACCCCGGUGUACUAUGUGUGUUGAGUUUUCCAAAUAGUUUCACAGGAUAAACUACCACUUCUCUCACUGUGCAAGGUCCAUACACACACACAUAUUCAAAUUCCACAAGCUGAACACUGCUAUUCUCUGAAUAUGGUUGGUAUAUUUUGAGUGCAAACAAUAAACAAACACUUUCAGU